UACGUAGGUUGCAAGCGUUGUCCGGAUUUAUUGGGCGUAAAGCGAACGCAGGCGGGAUAACAAGUCAGCUGUGAAAGCCCGCGGCUUAACUGGGGAAGAGCAGCUGAAACGGAUAUUCUUGAGUGCAGAAGAGGAGACUGGAACUCCAUGUGUAGCGGUGGAAUGCGUAGAUAUAUGGAAGAACACCAGUGGCGAAGGCGGCUCUCUGGUCUGUAACUGACGCUGAGGUUCGAAAGCAUGGGUAGCGAACAGG
rnacentral:rRNA from 1 species